rnacentral:ncRNA from 2 species
GAUUGCACGCAGGGGGGUCCCGCCCAGGGGACUGAGAGGCUGACAGUGCAGAUGCACGGUGACGCGACCCUUUGAACCUGACCCAGUUGAUACUGGCGUAGGAAGCUAGGUGCGCUCACUG